AAAUUUUCUUAAGGAACUCGGCAAAAUCCCAAUGGCCCACCAGGGCAUAUUGGAACACGGGCCUCGACUGUUUACCAAAAACAUAGCCCUCGGCUAAUAUGAAAAUAGAUGUAUAGAGGGUGAUGCCUGCCCAAUGGUUGUAUCUAAAAGCGGUUGAUAAAAGUUGACCUCGUAAGGACAAUUGAAUGGCCGCGGUAACACUGACCGUGAUAAUGUAGCGUAAUCAAUAGCCAAUUAAUUGUUGGCCAGUAUGAAUGGCGCCACGAAGGCCCCACUGUCUUAAGGAAAUUCCCAGUGAAAUUGAAUUCGUAGUGAAGAUGCUACGUCCAAUUUGUUAGACGAAAAGACCCCGUUGAGCUUUACUGGAGCACUUACAUGGCCCCGGCCUUCCCAUGCCUGGGAACCGGCCGAAUUUAAAUGGGCGGCUUAGAUUAUGUGGCAGCCCCCCGCUGGGGCAAAUGAAACACCACUCCCCCAUGUCAAAGGGGCUAACCCCCCCCCUUGGGGGGACAGUGUAAGUAGGACAGUUUGGUUGGGGCGACCACCUUUUAAAAAGUAACGAAGGUGCGCUUAAGGUGCGCAAUUAAUGACUGAAGCCUGACUGCGAGGGGGACACCCCGAGCAGACACCCCAAAGCCCGCCCGAAAGGCGGCGGUGGGGUGGGCCAUAGUGACCCGUU
rnacentral:rRNA from 1 species